CAGAUAGAAAUAUAUUCAGUCAAUUGCGUCGCUGAUUUAUUAUUCUGCGACGCACUGAGUUAGUCGUUGAAAUUCUUUUUUCGAUUUACCUUUUUUUUCCAUUCACACAUGUUCCGCCUACCUUCCUCCAUACCUCUCUUUCUCUCUCAUCCCCUUCAUUCCAAAGCUUGAAACCUCAACAGUCAAAACCUCUCUUUCUCCGCCACCCUCCUCGUCCAGUUGAAGGCUCCUACAACAUUCUCUCUCCUCAAAAAUUCCAAUCACUAUAAUUAAGACCGAAAAUUCCAAAAUCCUUGAAAAGAGCUCUGCGAAAAUAACAAGAGGACAAACGCUAGGUUCCGGCGCGACGAUGAAGGCGAAAUAUCGAAGCAGUAUGAAUGGUUUGCCGUUCCGAUGUCUAAGAUGUGCAACGAAGCAGCAUACGGGGCUGCUGUAGCUGGUUAUUUAUUCUGUUAUUGAGUAUGGAGCAAAUAGAGUUCGUGGAACCAAUGAUUGGUUAAUUUCUGAGCUGAUAAUACAAUUUACCUAUUUUAUGAAGACAAUGCUAUAUAAUGAAAGGAGCCGAUCGUUCGUAACUUUAGUGAAUGUUCCCCAGAGGCAGAUGAUUCUCACAAGUCUAUAAGAGAGGUAGAGCUGGUACACCAAAGAAGCUAGCAGUUCCUAACUCUUCAAUGAAACAGGCAUCCAGAAGUGUGUGCUCAACAACCGGGAUCACUAGAUUGUGGCUACUACGUCAUGCGUUUUAUGUACGACAUAAUAAUGAAUCAUGGUAAUAGUCAAGAUCUUACUCAGGAUUUUUCAAGAACAUUGCCUUAUUCACCGGAGGAGAUUAAUGAGGUGAAAGAUUUUUGGGCAGAUUACUUCAUGAACAAUGUCGAAUUUUUAGCUUAAUUUGUAAUAUGAACUCGAUCUCUAGCUAGCUACGUACCUUUUGUAAUAAUUUUAUGUUUGUUGUAACAUGUUGGUUGAUCUAUGACGAAUUUCCAACUAAAAUAUUAAAAAACAA